CGGAGCUCAGCUCCCACUGCCACUCCUUCACAAUAAGCAUUGCUGAUGGGCUGACUAUAAUUCCUAAAAGGAUUUCAGGCAGAUCCUAACAGUGCUGCAAUCCUCAAUGGAUGAUAAUCAAGGCUGUCUUGAGCAGGAUUCCUUUUACCCUGACCUCCAUCAUUGGAUGCUCCCAAGGACCUGGCAGUGCCUGGAAGCCAGGGGGAGGCAGAGAUGCUGGGUGCAGCCUGCUGUGGUGCAGGAGAGCUCACAAGGAUCCAUCCUAGAGUACUCAGAGCUGGCCAAGGUCAGCGCCAGGUGUCUCUGAAUUGUCCAUCACUGGGAAUCUAGAGAGGUGCCAGCUGACUGCCAGCCAGAGCAAAACCUCAGUACCUGUAGGCCUGUCGGCCUCACCUCAGUGCUUGGAAAAAGGAUGGAGAAAAUUACCUUGGGAGGUUCUGAAGGACAGUGCUGUCUUUGGCCAGAGCCAGUGUGGGUUCACAGAGGAGGUGGUCUUUAACAAAUGAACUUUCCUUCCAUAGUGAAGUCACCUGUCAUGUUGGUGGAGGGAAGCCAGCUGCUGUUAUCUUUAGGAUUUCAGUAAAGCUUUCCAUCCUGUAUCCUUCUAGACAAACUGCCCAGCACUCAGCCCAAAAUGUAACACGAGGGGUCGGCCCUGGGGUUAUGGUAAAUGGGGACAGGGCUGGGGUCAAGGCCCCUCUGUGCUGCCACAGCGCUCCAUUUUAGGGCCGCUUCUGUUGAACGAACGCUUUCACCCACAUCUUCGAUGGAGUUUUGAAGGUGUCUCAGUAAGCAUCCUCCCAGAGGGGGAGGAGCUGUUGGCUUCGUGGAGUACAGACAGCCUUGCAGGGAGCCAGGCACCACCAACGUGCAGUGUGACAAGCGGUGCUGCGUUGUGUGCUGCACAGCCAGCCCUGGUGGCACAGCAGCCUGGGCCAAGGGAUGCUGCUGAGCAGCCCUGCUGCUGGGGGUUUGGCUGCUGCAGGUGUUACCCACCAGUAGCGAUAGCAAAAAACUCUGCAUGCGUGCUCAAAUGGUUUCUUUGUUCCAUCUUCUUGAUGGAUUUCUCCUUCCCUAUGCUACAUAAACAGUACUACAGCCCUAUCUUUCCUUACAGAGAAACUCAAUUUUGUUUUUGUCUUCCUGCUACCAACAGGAAUUUUAUGGAACAUUCUAUAGGGGAAAAGUUUUGAAAUAUUCACAGUAAAUAUUUUAUUGAACAAGUGUGCUCCUGCUCGAAAGGAAAACUCUUAGGGAAGUUUUGAGGGCAACUUUUUACUUGAGAAUAAAUAAGAAUAAUGAGGCAACGUGGUUAAACAAACAGCACUUUAUUAAACUCAGACAGUUAGAUAAUGCUUAGAACUAUGACAGCAUUGUCAAAAAUGGAAAAAGUUUCAACAAAGUGAGAGGUUACAACCAAGAAGCAGAACAGGCCACUUAAGCACCCAGAGCAGGGCAGAACAGAAGGGCAGGCUGCAAACGGCUGCAGUGAGGUGGCAGUGAGUGCAGGAAAACAUCCCUGCAGCUGUAUAGGUGUGCAAAAGCUUACACCACAAUUAAGGCGUGAUGAAACCUGCUUUCCUCUCACAACACACAGCAUUAGUGUGGUACACUCACAGUAUUUUAACACGGGCUGUUAGCACUUAGAAAUUUUUCACCUUUCAAAAGCAUUUCUGAUGUUCUGGGCUUUAACACUUACGUAUGAAAUGGCCAAACCACUGCGCACGCGUUGCAAACAACAGUGCAGCCAGAGCUCCAGGAGCACAGGCAAACACUGCCCGGCCCUUCUCUUACCCAACUGCCCCCAACUCUGCUGUGACAGUUGCAUCCCUCUCCCCAACUCUGCAGAACAUUCCCUCGCUCACGCAGUGUCACGCUGUGCUGCUCAGCGUGUGCUCCUACCAUUGCUGUUACAGUGACAACGCACGACGCACGCCGGCUCUUUCAGCUCCCAUAUGAAGUGCACUGAGGUUGGAUGCUUAACAAGUAAACAAUUACAUUGCAAAGGACAGACCUGCACAGCGGAGUGUUUGAAGAUGGGCAGAAUCCCACUAUUUGUUCUUUCGUUUGUUGUCAGAGAAGUCCAUGACAGACAGACUCUUCUGUGGUGAACUUCCAUUAACUUCUUGCUUCCUCGCCUGGCUCCUGCACAGGAGAAAAGAACAACUUUAUGUCUGUUCUCCCCUAAGACUGCUGUCUAACUUUCUGCCAGAGCAGCUGAGCAACACGAGAUGUAAGCCUGAGACUUCUGAACAUCCGCUGCUGCUCUACGUGCCACAGCUCUCUGAAAAGGCACCGAACACAAAAAGAGCGAUCUGCCAGCGCCUCUUUAACAUCAAACUGUAAUUUGUAUGUAGGUUCUCAGCACAUCACUAUGUGCUGCAGGAGAGAGAAAUCUUUCCUGGACCUGGUGGGCAAAGCGAUGGGCCUGGCAGCACGCCUCGGAGGAGGGCUGCAAGUCCUGGAGGUGUGCAGACACACUGGGCUUGGCACCAGUCUUCUCUUCCUGAAGUACAACACCCUCACAGGAAACUGUGUGUCCCUGAGAACCGUGCAGAAAUGCUGCUGUGAUGAAGGACCAAACUAAGAAAGUCUCAGAGAGAGCAGCUGCAGCUUUUCUCCUUGCUCCCCCCUGUGCUUACGAGUGACCAUCAGCCCUUCCUUGCUGUGAACGCACUGGCAGGCAGCAGGUGGCCCUCCAGCACAACCUGCCAGGGCCGCCCUCAGCCCAGCAGAGCAGAGCUAAAGCACAGCUCCCUAAACUGGCCUCCAAGCCCUGAGCUCCUGGAGCAUGUGCAGACCUGACCUGCAAUCCAGUACACGCGUAGCAUCCAGAAAAACGACUCACUCCUGCUGAAGCCACCCACGCUCUUCCCUUUAUCAACUCGUGCUCCUAUUCCAAAGCUACAUUUCUGUCCAUUUCUCUACAAAUGCAGAAUGCAGUUAAUCAGAUGACUGCUCUGAGGACUACACGCAGAAAUCUUCAAAUGCUUCAACUGGGACUCCAAAAAGAAGAAAAGGGUAAGGAAAAGGUUUCUGCCUGAAAAGGGAGUACGUAGAUUCAUGCAUACAAUACCUUCCAUGAUUAUCACACCAACACAAGCCAUUAUGACUGUCGUAAUGACAAAGAUGAGGAAAAAUGCCACAGGAAUAGUAGACACUGCAAUGAACAUCAGGAGCGAUAAGGCAACAAAGGGAUGGUCAUCCAAAUACAGGCCCAGGCGGGAGUUCAUAAACGCAACGACCUGCGGAGGGAAGAACAGCGUUCAGCUGUAUUUCACCGUAACUCCGCGGCCGCAGCUCGCCAGUGAGAAGCAGGGGAACACCUUUUGUAAGUCUGCAGGUGGAAACAAAUCCCUUCUGUUAAAGCAGUUGUACACUGGAAUUUCUGCGUAGAAGAGAAAUUUCUUUCUCUCUAAGCAAAUACGUACUGUAGUUUAUUUGUGGAGCAGCACAAACAUGUCACCAAACAGCCACUCUUCCGCCUUAAUGGCUAUACUGGUAAGACAGAAGUGCAGAACAGUGGUCCCUUCAUCUCGACUGCUGAAGAUAUGGGAGGGCUGCCCUUCCCCUGCACUCCUGAGCGUUUGCUCAAGAAAGAGAGCCCCAAGUUUCCAAAUAAAGGAAAGAAAGCAUCACUGAGAUAAACUGGGGCACUGCAUCUCAAGAGCUGUAAAGAUCCCGGCUUCGGAAGUGCGCCACAGACAGUUCUCCCAGUUCUCACGCAGACCUACGUUUGAGUUGCUGUGGAUGGACUGCACGAUGAAGUGCCAUUGCUUCUGCAGCUCCUGCAGCUCUUUAGACAUGCUGGGCCCUGUAGUGCCGCUGCCAGCCCGGGCGGUGGCAGACUCGUGCAGGUGUUUCCUGAAAAUAAAGGAAAAGCUUUUGCCAAAACAGA